CUGUAAGGCACGUCAAGUCAGAGGGCCCAAACGGAAGAAAUGCAAGGGCUUAUCCAAACAUACAAUAAAGUUGGAAGACUAAAUUGAAAUGUCACGAAAGGAUAAAGAUUCCCUAUCUCUCCAUCUGUUCCUGUGGUUUAAAAACCACCAACGCCGUCGCGGCCACUUGAGAUGAGCUCGGCGGCUGGAAGAUAUGCCUCCGUUUCUGCAGCAGGACAGACCAUGGCAGCACGGCCAAGCCGUGAGCCGGACCACGCCAUGCGUAAUCGUUGUUGCGCUGCGCGCGUAGCCGCACGACUGUGCAUACGUCCCAGCCCCACGCGGCCAACCGACCGGAGGGAGCGCCACCGCGCCUCGCGUUGGAGGCCGCGGACGCCUCGCCGGGAGGGUUUCGCGCUGGUGCAGUCGCAACCGCCAGGAGGAGCCGCUUCCUCGCCGAGCCGGAGCAAAUGCCACCGUGCCUCGCGUUGUAGGGCCGAGGAGCGACACCGGCGCCGCGCACCGGAGGGCGCUGCUCCGCAGGGAGCCGCCUCCGACGUCAUGCGCCAAGGCUACCUCUGCCGGGCUGGGGACCGCACCGCGCCGCGACAUAUGGCAUUGCCUAUUUCCCCGGGCCGGCCAAGGGCCAUCUCCACCGCGCCGAAGGGUCACCGCUGCUCCACGUUGCGCGCCUCGCCGCUCCACCGUUCACGCAAAGCGGGAACUGCUCCGCGCCGGGAUUAAGGUCCGCGGCAGCGGUGGGCUCCAGCGCUCGGAAGGGACUCGCAUGCCGAGACCCGUGCCUCCGCGCGUGCGUCUUGGCGUCCGAACGAUCGAAGGCACUUCGCGGCGCCUCGCGUAGGCCGCAGUCGUUCCUUAGCCAUGCUCCCCGCUGGGAGUAGCCUCUGCCUCCGGGGGUGUCACGCCGGAGGGCGCAGCUUCCCUGCGGGGCUGAGGCAGGGCCGGCCCGGGCAGCGGGGGCGGCCGCCCCGGGCCCCCAAAAUCGAGGGGGCCCUCCCCAGGUUAGUACGUGCAUGUGUCAAGAAAAUAGGAACUGAUUGAUCCUUCCAUCCUAUCACAUCACGACGUAUUCACGCAGCGAUCCUCAAUUUUCUACCGGCCGCCGACGCUUGAGUCAUCGCGACUACUCGUACCGUGCUCUUUUUUCCCUAUUCUCCUAAAUCUAAUUUCGUUGCUAAUUCAGAUUGUCCGCCGAUUUCAGUUCCCCGGCGGCCGUCGCACCUUAGCUGUGCUCUCCGUCCAUCAACGAUCCGACCUUCCGAGGUAUGUCUUAUAUUCAUAUUGCGGUUCCUAGUCUCCUAGAUGAAUAGCUCUUCAACAAUAGUCAAUUGAUGCUUUUUUUUCAGUAUUGUGUCUUAUCAUGUUGGGAAAGUAUCCAUCUGGUAGUGAUAACAGGAAAAUGAAGAAAACGGCGGAUGAUUUGGUACCAUCACAGCUCGUAAAUAUUCAUCAAUUUUUGAGUAAUACUGGUGCUUUCACUAUUUCAAUAAACCCAAAUGAAGAGGUUGUGAUAGUUGUCUGAAAGAAAGGACAAUCAACUGAUGGGAACUCAGAAUCUGAUGAGCAAGAAGAAAAUGGCGACACCAACAUCUUGUGGCUCCGAGAAUGUAGGUAAUUCAUUUGAUGCAUAGGCAUAGUCAGCUAGUGUUGAUGAACAACCAGUUUAUACUGUUGAUAUUUAUCAAUUUACGAUCCUGGAUAAUCUUGAUAGUAAAGCAAGAGCCAUCUUAGUUCAGAAAUGGCCUAUGAGAGAAGACAAAAAAAAAUAUGAAAUACCAUCUACAUGAUGAAAAGAUUUUUAUUAUGCUCAUUAUAGGAAAUUAAGCAAUUGAGAGAAGCAGUGACUCAAAGAGAGUUUAAAUGGUUUGGCAACAUUAUGCAUCAAGAAGAAAUUAUUAGAUAGAUACUGACAUCACCACCAUCAUAAGUGACUUUGAAUCGAGGAAUGAUAGAAGAAACUUUUUAGGUAAUGUAUAUGUAUAUCACUUUCUAUUGUUAUGAUGUCUAUAUUAAAGGCCCCAAGUUUUAGUCUCGCCCCGGGCCCCCAAAAUCACAGGACCGGCCCUGGGCUGAGGGCGAAGCGGGAGCGACAGCCGCGGAGGACUGCCCGAGAGCCGCGGCCUCAGACGACGCCGCCUCCACCGCUCGGGAAGGGCUCGCCACGCACGUCCACCGGGACAUGCUGCGUCGCACGGCUCCAUCGACCAGAGGAAGGGCCUCGCCGGAAACGCUCUGCCAGGAGCGUGCUGAUAACGUUUUGUAAUUAAAUGAAGCAAAUGAUUGUCUUUAUUGAUGAGAGUGCUGCUAUUUAUACAAACCCAAGGGACGCUUCUCAAUAGGCGCGAGGAUGCGAGCAACCGUCACGACUGUAGCCAAAAGACAACUGCCGCCGGUUCCUAUAAAGCAGGGAUUAACCCAUUAA
rnacentral:rRNA from 1 species